rnacentral:misc_RNA from 1 species
CAAAAAAAAAAAAAAAAACUUUAAUUAACAGCCUUGCCUCUUCUCCAGCACCAUUUUCGUUUUACAGAACCUUCACUAGCAACAAUCUGCAAUGGCAGAAACUUGAUGCCAGUCAGGUCUAUCUCAGCAUCCCCUUCGCAUUAGAACCACCUGAGAAUAUUGAAUCUUUCACUCAGCUUGUAUGUUUUCCAGAAGAAGAGAGAUGAAGAAGAAAUAUUAAUUAAAUAAUUAAUAAAAUGAAACAAUACUUAACUGGUUAUGUUGAAGUUGGUUUCCAGAUAGAGAAGAAGGCUGUAUAUAGUUAGCAAAGUGGUCUUGGUAUGCAGAUCUCCCCUCAAAAUGUGUAGCUGAAAAACCAGCCGCUUGUGAAUAAUCCAAUGUGGUUUCCAUUGAAGCUUGAUUUUUAUCCAUGAAAGCAAAAUCGCUAUUCUUGGAGAAGUUGAAGGCAGGAGAGCUAGCAGUAUCAUCAAGAAAAGAGGGGAGUUCUUGCUCCUUUUUCCUUUUCCCACCAUUAUUAUUCAUCAAUGUAGUAUCCUUAAAUGCAGGAUAGAAGCAACCAUUAUUACCGUAAUUAAAGUAAUUACUUUCAUCUUCAUGAAAAUGAUGAGGAGGCCCAGAAGAUGCAUCAGAGACCAUAGACAAAUCCUCCUCAUCAUGUUCUUGAUCUUCAUCACUUUCUGCUUUAUUACCAUGCUCCUUUUUAUUCCAAAAGCCAGAACUCUUUCUAACAUCAACUAGCUUGGAACCUCUAUGUGCAGUAGCAGCAGUAGUUGGAGACAGAAAAGAUUGUUCCAAGUAAAGAGUCCAACCAGACUCACAACCACUAGUGCAUUCUGAGGCAGACGCGUUCAUCUUCCUCGUAGCUAGCUAUAGCUAUCUUUCUUUCACUCUCUCAAAGAAACAAGAAAUGAAGUUGGCUUCUUUUUAUGAAGGAGGAGAGUGAAAACAUAUAAGAGAAGCUAAUUAAGCAAAGGUAGGAUAGUGUGGAGAAGAUUGUGGGAAAAAACCAAGAGAAUCAGGUUCGAAUCCGAGACUAAAUUUGUCCUGACUCUCCUCAUUCAGUCUCUCUGUGCGAAUGUAUAAAAAAUGCCAGUUGGGUUUGGGCUAUUCAGUGGGUACAUGUA